GUAGGCAUAGUUUUCCUUAAACACCAGAUUGUGUAUCUGGAAAGAGGACCCCAAACACCCUUGCCAACC
rnacentral:tRNA from 1 species